GCCCGUCUGGUGGAAUUGGCAUACACGUCCGACUCAAAAUCGGAUGCCGAAAGGCUUGCGAGUUCGAGUCUCGCGACGGGCA
rnacentral:tRNA from 1 species